rnacentral:rRNA from 1 species
AUUGAACGCUGGCGGCAGGCCUAACACAUGCAAGUCGAGCGGUAACAGAGAGUAGCUUGCUACUCUGCUGACGAGCGGCGGACGGGUGAGUAAUGCUUGGGAAUAUGCCUUAUGGUGGGGGACAACAGUUGGAAACGACUGCUAAUACCGCAUGAUGUCUAUGGACCAAAGUGGGGGACCUUCGGGCCUCACGCCAUAAGAUUAGCCCAAGUGGGAUUAGCUAGUUGGUGAGGUAAUGGCUCACCAAGUCAAUGACACUUAACUGGUUUGAGAGGAUGAUCAGUCACACUGGAACUGAGACACGGUCCAG